CCUACGGGAGGCAGCAGUGAGGAAUAUUGGUCAAUGGACGAGAGUCUGAACCAGCCAAGUAGCGUGAAGGAUGACGGCCCUAUGGGUGGUAAACUUCUUUUAUAUGGGAGUAAAACAGGGUAUGCAUACCCUCUUGUAUGUACCAUAUGAAUAAGGAUCGCCUAACUACGUGCCAGCAGCCGCGGUAAGACGGAGGAUCCGAGCGUUAUCCGGAUUGAUUGGGUUUAAAGGGGGCGUAGGUGGAUUGAUAAGUCAGUUGUGAAAGUUUGCGGCUCAACCGAGAAAUUGCAAUUGAUACUGGCAGUCUUGAGUGCAGUUGAGGAAAGUGGAAUUCGUGGUGUAGCGGUGAAAUGCGUAGAUAUCACGAAGAACCCCAAUUGCGAAGGCGACUUACUAAACUGUAACUGACGUUGAUGCUCGAAAGUGUGGGUAUCAAACAGGAUUAGAUACCCGAGUAGUC
rnacentral:rRNA from 1 species